rnacentral:rRNA from 1 species
ACAUACGACCACAGGGUGUGGAGAACAAGGCUUCCUGUCCGCUCAGCCGUACUUAAGCCACACGCCGGUAAGUUAGUAGUUAGUAGUUAGGUGGGUGACCACUAGCGAAUCCUUACUGUUGUAUGUU